rnacentral:rRNA from 1 species
ACGCUCGACACCUACGGAGGCAGCAGUGGGGAAUAUUGCACAAUGGGGGAAACCCUGAUGCAGCGACGCCGCGUGAGCGAAGAAGUAUUUCGGUAUGUAAAGCUCUAUCAGCAGGAAAGAAGAAAGACGGUACCUGACUAAGAAGCCCCGGCUAACUACGUGCCAACAGCCGCGGUAAUCUGAGCGGGCGUGGCAAGGC